rnacentral:rRNA from 1 species
AUUGAACGCUGGCGGCAGGCCUAACACAUGCAAGUCGAGCGAGCGGCGGACGGGCGAGUAAUGCCUGGGUAACUGACCGACGGAGGGGGAUAACUACUGGAAACGGUAGCUAAUCCCGCAUACCAUCUGAUGUGCCCAGAUGGGAUUCGCGUGUAGGUGAGGUAACGGCUCAGCUAGGCGACGAUCCCGAGCUGGUCUGAUAGGAUGACUGGCAAAACUGGACUUGAGACAGGGUCCAGACUCCUACGGGAGGCAGCAGUGGGGAAUAUUGGACAAUGGGCGAAAGCCUGAUGCAGCCAUGCGGCGGGUGUGAAGAAGGUCUUCGGAUUGUAAAGCACUUUAAGUUGGGAGGCGUUACCAACAGAAUAAGCACCGGCUAACUUCGUGCCAGCAGCCGCGGUAAUUC